GAUGAACGCUGGCGGCGUGCUUAACACAUGCAAGUCGAACGAGAAGUGAAGACGGAAACCUUCGGGCGGAAGGCUUUAUUUCGAGUGGCGGACGGGUGAGUAACGCGUGGGUAACCUGCCUCAUACAGGGGGGUAACAGUUGGAAACGACUGUUAAUACCGCAUAAGACCACAGCACCGUAUGGUGGGGGGGUAAAAACUCGGGUUGUAUGAGAUGGGCCCGCGUUCGAUUGGCCAGUUGGCGGGGUAACGGCCCACCAAAGGGACGGUCGGUAGCCGAUCUGAGAGGCUGGCCCGCCACACUGGCACUGGGACACGGCCCAAACUCCUACGGGAGGGAGCAGUGGGGAAUAUUGCACAGUGGGGGAAACCCUGAUGCAGCGACGCCGCGUGAGUGAAGAAGUAUUUCGGGAUGUAAAGCUCUAUCAGCAGGGAAGAAAAUGACGGUACCUGAGGAAGAAGCCCCGGCUAACUACGUG
rnacentral:rRNA from 1 species